CCAAAAAACAGCGGUUUUGGGCAACCCCCACACACAGCGAGGGGCAGGCUGUGGGGUCGUAGGGUUGAGGUCUUUCCUCCAGGCCCCCUGGGGGUACAGCCCGCUCCCAUCCCAGGCUGCUCCUCACUUUUUGGGGGUGAAAGUCCCCUUUCUUAGUUUGCAGUGUGUGUGGGUUUGGGCAUUGGUUUCGAGUGGUUUAGGGUGGUUUGUUUUUAGUAAGAUGUAUUUGUAGAAGGGAGGGAAGAAGAUGUAUUUCUAGAAAGAAGUAUUCAAAGCGGCAUCAGGCUGCCACUGUUUAGGUUUUUUUUUUGUGUGGGAAGCGCAGGAAGGGUGAAAACAACUACUUAGAGCUGAGCCGAUUUAAAGAAAAACCAGUGACCCCAAGGCCAAAAGGACAAGUAAACACGGUGUGGUUUUGGUGAAAAUCAGGGAGUAGAACGCAGCAGGGCUCUCCGAAAUGGAUAUUCUCCAUCUUCCCUGCCACAGACAUCCUUGUGUGAAUGGCUCAAGAGCCCUUGGACCCAAGCUGGUGCCAAAAUUAGCCUAAAAAGAAUGCCAAGUAUUUCCAGGAGUCAGCCCUUGUUUAGCAUCUUCCUCAUGGAAUACAAACAGAAAAUACUCCCUUAUGUGGAAUUUAACAGUUACGCACAGUCCCUAGAAAGGCAGGAACCUUUGCAGCUAUGGCACAGCUCCCUCGAUCCAGGUAUGAAGUAAAGUACUUGUAACUGUGAAAUCUUGAAGGAAGAGAAUUAGGGCAAAGUUAUCAACAUUUCAGCCCAAAGGAGAAAAAACAGCCCCAUUCUGCUUUCAGAGACAGUGAAGCUGCAGAAGCAAAGAGUUUGGAUUUAUGUCUUGACAAGUACAAUGAUUUUCAGUUCCAAUUUUAGUGGGACCAUGAACUGAGAUUUUUUUCUGCU